CAGCCGCCGCGGGAAUACGAAGGGUGCAAGCGUUACUCGGAAUUACUGGGCGUAAAGCGUGCGUAGGUGGUUGUUUAAGUCUGCUGUGAAAGCCCUGGGCUCAACCUGGGAAUUGCAGUGGAUACUGGGCGACUAGAGUAAGGUAGAGGAUAGUGGAAUUUCCGGUGUAGCAGUGAAAUGCGUAGAGAUCGGAAGGAACAUCUGUGGCGAAGGCGACUAUCUGGGCCAUUACUGACACUGAGGCACGAAAGCGUGGGGAGCAAACAGGAUUAGAUACCCGUGUAGUCCCUGUCUCUUAUAC
rnacentral:rRNA from 1 species